GCCCCCUUCGUCUAGUGGCCCAGGACAUCGGCCCAUAUCCGGUCGGAAACGCUCGUUCGAAUCGGGCAGGGGGUA
rnacentral:tRNA from 5 species